rnacentral:rRNA from 1 species
UGGGGAAUUUUGGACAAUGGGCGCAAGCCUGAUCCAGCCAUGCCGCGUGCGGGAAGAAGGCCUUCGGGUUGUAAACCGCUUUUGUCAGGGAAGAAAUCUUCUGAGUUAAUACCUCGGGAGGAUGACGGUACCUGAAGAAUAAGCACCGGCUAACUACGUGCCAGCAGCCGCGGUAAUACGUAGGGUGCAAGCGUUAAUCGGAAUUACUGGGCGUAAAGCGUGCGCAGGCGGUUUUGUAAGACAGAGGUGAAAUCCCCGGGCUCAACCUGGGAACUGCCUUUGUGACUGCAAGGCUUGAGUGCGGCAGAGGGGGAUGGAAUUCCGCGUGUAGCAGUGAAAUGCGUAGAUAUGCGGAGGAACACCGAUGGCGAAGGCAAUCCCCUGGGCCUGCACUGACGCUCAUGCACGAAAGCGUGGGGAGCAAACAGGAUUAGAUAGCCCUGGGUAGUCCACGCCCUAAAACGAUGUCAACUGGUUGUUGGGAAGGUUCCUUCUUAGUAACGUAGCUAACGCGUGAAGUUGACCGCCUGGGGAGUACGGCCGCAAGGUUGAAACUCAAAUG